rnacentral:rRNA from 1 species
CCUACGGGUGGCUGCAGUGGGGAAUAUUGGGCAAUGGGCGCAACCCUGACCCAGCAACGCCGCGUGAAGGAAGAAGGUUUUCGGGUUGUAAACUUCUUUUCUGAGGGACGAAGAAAGUGACGGUACCCCAGGAAUAAGCCACGGCUAACUACGUGCCAGCAGCCGCGGUAAUACGUAGGUGGCAAGCGUUAUCCGGAUUUAUUGGGCGUAAAGGGUGUGUAGGCGGGAAAGUAAGUCAGAUGUGAAAACUCAGGGCUCAACCCUGAGCCUGCAGUUGAAACUGUUUUUCUUGAGUGCUGGAGGGGCAAGCGGAAUUACGUGUGUAGCGGUGGAAUGCGUAGAUAUAAGGAGGAACACCAGUGGCGAAGGCGGAUUGCUGGACAGUAACUGACGCUGAGGCACGAAAGCGUGGGGAGCAAACAGGAUUAGAUACCCGAGUAGUC